GGGGCUUCCAAGGACCAGAUGUGUUCGGUGGAGAGAGCGCGGAAGGCAGCGAUGGAUAAAGCAGCGUUAUCAGGAGGAGCGGAAUUCUCAGAGCCAGAUGGAGGGACAGAAUUGUCAAAAGGAUUGGUAUUAUUGUUGUUAUUAGUUGUGGUGUUGGAAUUUUGCUUGCGGACUUUGGAGGAAGCGAGAAAGGAGAGAAGGGAGGCGAGGGUGAAAAAGAGGAGAGGAGCGGCAGAGGAGGAAGAGAGGAGAGAGGAAGGAGAGGGAGAGGAAAGGGAAGGAGAGGAAACAGAGGGAGUGGAAGGGGAGGAAACAAGGGAGGUUGUUGGGUCUAAGGUGUUGUGGAGGUGGAGGAGAUUAGAUAGCAUUAGCAAGAAAGAUUCAUCCAUGGCUUCAGAGAUUAAUUUUUGUUGGGGGGUUUUUCAGGGAAGGAGGGAGAGAGCUCGAUGAAGGAAAUUUUCAGUGGAAGUGGGCAACUCGGGGUUCCGAGUUUCUGAGAAGUGGGAUC
rnacentral:misc_RNA from 1 species